rnacentral:rRNA from 1 species
AAUAAGCACCGGCUAAAUACGUGCCAGCAGCCGCGGUAAUACGUAUGGUGCAAGCGUUAUCCGGAAUCACUGGGCGUAAAGGGUGCGUAGGCGGUUUUGCAAGUCAGAAGUGAAAAAGCCCGGGCUCAAACCUCGGAAACUGCAUUUGAAAAACUGGCAGACUAGAGUACUGUAGAGGGGGUAGAAUUUCAGGUGUAGCGGUGAAAAUGCGUAGAGAUCUGAAGGAAUACCGGUGGCGAAGGCGGCCCCUGGACAGAUACUGACACUCAGAUGCGAAAGCGUGGGGAGCAAACAGGAUUAGAUACCCUGGUGG